UAGAACUUAAGAUAUUUUAAAAUCUUUAUAUCUUUUAAAUAUAAAAAGCUCUUAGCAGUUCUUACCA
rnacentral:tRNA from 1 species